rnacentral:rRNA from 1 species
UACGGAGGGAGCUAGCGUUGUUCGGAAUUACUGGGCGUAAAGCGCACGUAGGCGGCUAUUCAAGUCGGGGGUGAAAGCCCGGGGCUCAACCCCGGAACUGCCCUCGAAACUAGAUAGCUAGAAUCUUGGAGAGGCGAGUGGAAUUCCGAGUGUAGAGGUGAAAUGCGUAGAUAUCGGGAGGAACACCAGUGGCGAAGGCGGCUUUCUGGCCUGUUCUUGACGCUGAGGCGCGAAAGCUAGGGUAGCAAACGGG